CCUAUGAUGGGGGUAAACAGUUGGAAAACGACUGCUAAUACCGAAUACGCUCAUGAUGAACUUUAUGAGGAAAGGUGGCCUCUGCUUGCAAGCUAUCGCAUAGAGAUGAGUCCGCGUCCCAUUAGCUAGUUGGUGGGGUAACGGCCUACCAAGGCAACGAUGGGUAGCCGAUCUGAGAGGAUGAUCGGCCACACUGGAACUGAAACACGGUCCAG
rnacentral:rRNA from 1 species